rnacentral:rRNA from 1 species
UAAUACGGAGGGUGCAAGCGUUAUCCGGAUUCACUGGGUUUAAAGGGUGCGUAGGCGGGUUGGUAAGUCCGUGGUGAAAUCCCCAAGCUUAACUUGGGAACUGCCGUGGAUACUAUCAAUCUUGAAUAUCGUGGAGGUAAGCGGAAUAUGUCAUGUAGCGGUGAAAUGCUUAGAUAUGACAUAGAACACCAAUUGCGUAGGCAGCUUACUACACGAUCAUUGACGCUGAGGCACGAAAGCGUGGGGAGCAAACAGGAUUAGAUACCCUGGUAGUCCACGCCCUAAACGAUGGAUACUCGACAUCAGCGAUACACUGUUGGUGUCUGAGCGAAAGCAUUAAGUAUCCCACCUGGGAAGUACGAUCGCAAGAUUGAAACUCAAAUGAAUUGACGG